UCAUUGCUGGAACAAACGCCCUCACGGGUGCUACCCAGAAACCCUUUGUGAACUAUACCUUACUGUUGCCUCGGCAUUGGUUGGCUUCGAAUGAAGUCCCUGCGUCCCCCGCGGAUGCAGGAGCAGACCGGCCGACGGCCCUUGUAAACUCUUGUUUUUGUAAUAUCUUCUGAGUAAACAACUUAUAAAUGAAUCAAAACUUUCAACAACGGAUCUCUUGGUUCUGGCAUCGAUGAAGAACGCAGCGAAAUGCGAUAAGUAAUGUGAAUUGCAGAAUUCAGUGAAUCAUCGAAUCUUUGAACGCACAUUGCGCCCGGUGGUAUUCCACCGGGCAUGCCUGUUCGAGCGUCAUUUCAUCCCCUAAAAGCCUGGCUUUUAGUAUUGGAGGAACACCUGUAAAAGGGUGCCCUCUCAAAUUUAGUGGCGGGCUCGCUAGAAUUUUGAGCGUAGUAAUUUUACCUCGUUUUUAAAGCCUAGUGGGACUUCUUGCCGUAAAACCCCCCAAUUUUCUG
rnacentral:rRNA from 1 species